GAACGCUGGCGGCGUGCCUAAUACAUGCAAGUAGAACGCUGAAGGGAGAGCUUGCUCUUCUGGAUGAGUUGCGAACGGGUGAGUAACGCGUAGGUAACCUGCCUGGUAGCGGGGGAUAACUAUUGGAAACGAUAGCUAAUACCGCAUAAUAGUAGAUGUUGCAUGACAUUUGCUUGAAAGGUGCAAUUGCAUCACUACCAGAUGGACCUGCGUUGUAUUAGCUAGUUGGUGGGGUAACGGCUCACCAAGGCGACGAUACAUAGCCGACCUGAGAGGGUGAUCGGCCACACUGGGACUGAGACACGGCCCAGACUCCUACGGGAGGCAGCAGUAGGGAAUCUUCGGCAAUGGACGGAAGUCUGACCGUGCAACGCCGCGUGAGUGAAGAAGGCUUUCGGAUCGUAAAGCUCUGUUGUAAGAGAAGAACGAGUGUGAGAGUGGAAAGUUCACACUGUGACGGUAUCUUACCAGAAAGGGACGGCUAACUACGUGCCAGCAGCCGCGGUAAU
rnacentral:rRNA from 1 species